GGAUGUGAGGGUGAUCUGGCUGUGACAUCUGUCACCCUGUUGAUUGCCAGGGUUGAUUGGCUGGGUAGGUGGUUGUCUCCUUCCUCCCUCACCACUCCACGUGUUUCCCUCCCAAAGACAAUGCCCUUCCCCAAUAAAGGACCACUGCUCUUCAGUCAAGGGUAUCUGAGUAGGUGGGUUCCCCUGCUAAGACCUUAAAACAAGCUCUCUAAUGCUGCUGUAACUCGCCACCACAAACAGUGGCUUAAACCAGCACAGAUUUACUAUCUUACAGUUCUGAAAGUCAGAAGCU
rnacentral:snRNA from 1 species